rfam:Triticum aestivum genome assembly, contig: Triticum_aestivum_CS42_TGACv1_scaffold_316433_4AS
UAUAUACUCCCUCCAUUCAGAAUUACUUGUCGCAGAAAUGGAUGUAUCUAUACCUAUUUUAAUUCUAGAUACAUCCAUUUUCGAGACAAGUAAUUCCGGACGGAGGGAGUAUAAU